GAAAUAUGUUUAUCGGAAGUAGGCUUCUAACCAAACUUUCAAGCGAUGAAAACUCGUUUAUGUUUCU
rnacentral:tRNA from 1 species